rnacentral:rRNA from 1 species
GGGAGACUUGAGUGCAGGAGAGGAGAGUGGAAUUCCUAGUGUAGCGGUGAAAUGCGUAGAUAUUAGGAGGAACACCAGUUGCGAAGGCGGCUCGCUGGACUGUAACUGACGCUGAGGCACGAAAGCGGGGGGAGCAAACAGGAUUAGAUACCCUGGUAGUCCACGCUGUAAACGAUGAGUACUAGGUGUCGGGGGUUACCCCCCUCGGUGCCGCAGCUAACGCAUUAAGUACUCCGCCUGGGAAGUACGCUCGAAAGAGUGAAACUCAAAGGAAUUGACGGGGACCCGCACAAGUAGCGGAGCAUGUGGUUUAAUUCGAAGCAACGCGAAGAACCUUACCUAAGCUUGACAUCCCAAUGACAUCUCCUUAAUCGGAGAGUUCCCU